rnacentral:rRNA from 1 species
AAUGAACGUUGGCGGCGUGGAUUAGGCAUGCAAGUCGAGCGGCAGCAGGCCCCGCAAGGGGCGCUGGCGAGCGGCGAAAGGGAGAGUAACGCGUGGGUACGUACCCCCUGGGAUCAGGAUAGCGGCGGGAAACUGCCGGUAAUACUGAAUAACAUCUCAGGAUCAAAGGUGUGAUUCCGCCUGGGGAUCGGCCCGCGUCCUAUCAGCUAGUUGGCGAGGUAAUGGCUCACCAAGGCUAUGACGGGUACUGGGUGUGAGAGCACGACCCAGCUCACUGGGACUGAGAUACUGCCCAGACACCUACGGGUGGCUGCAGUCGAGAAUCUUCGGCAAUGGGCGAAAGCCUGACCGAGCGACGCCGCGUGCGGGAUGAAGGCCUUCGGGUUGUAAACCGCUGUCGUAGUGGAGGAAAUAUCAGGGGGUUCUCCCCUUGGUUUGACUGAUACUAGGAGGAAGGGUGGGCUAAGCUCGUGCCAGCCGCCGCCGUAAUAC